rnacentral:misc_RNA from 1 species
GAUGAAGAACGCAGCGAAAUGCGAUAAGUAGUGUGAAUUGCAGAAUUCAGUGAAUCAUCGAAUCUUUGAACGCACAUUGCGCCCUUUGGUAUUCCUUAGGGCAUGCCUGUUCGAGCGCCGUCGCACAACUGAGGCGCAGCCUUGCGUUGGCGGGCGACUUGUGAGUAGCGAGUCGCCGCCCAAACGAGACGGCGCCGCGCCGCGGCCGACGAAGCACGAAAGCGGAAGUCGACGCGGAGGCGGUUGCCUGUAGGAAGACACAGCUUGGCCUCGGAUCAGGUGGGGAUACCCGCUGAACUUAAGCAUAUCAAUAAGCGGAGGA